GCACGCGCAUUGACUAGCAGCGCUGCAGCCCGCCGGCUUCUCAAAUCCGCUGGCCCGGAAGUUAGCUGCUGGCCGUCGCCUGCGGGUCAGUGGUGUGUGAGGUCCGCGCCCAUCUGGUCAUUUCUGUUUAAUAGAUAAGGAUAGAAUGCUUUUCCCCACAGAGCCGCGGCUACUAAUGGCGAGGCUAGGACUUACGCUUGGGUCUCUGAAUCUUCCGAGCUUGGGACGACUGGACUGUCAUUUGUGGUCCCUUAGGACUCAAGACUUACUGAGUUCAAGUCUGAAACGCCACCCAGCAGUUGGUGAGAUAAGGGUCUCUCAAUCCAGUACAGAGCUCGCGAUACGUCUGGUCUUGGUAGCCAGCUUGCUGUGGGGAUCUUCUGAUUUCCCCUUCCCGGGCUGUAAUUACAGCAGGCUGGAUCUUGGUGAAGUCAGAUUUCCCAGAGUUCACCGGAGUGUUGGUCUCAUUUGGACCCUUCCUGGAUCAUGCCAUGGACAUGCCCGGUAGGUAGUAAAAGCAUACUGACUGGCAGGCAUUCCGUGUAUAUGGAGGUGGACUUUCCUCCGACAAGCAUCACCAGGCAAAAGGGCAUCCUGGUGCCCUGCCAGUCUCCCUGGAAUACACCUCUCCUGCCUGUGAAGACACCUGGGACCUCUGAUUCUCAUGAGUCUGAUUGUUCCAGAGAAACAGGUGUGCACUGUCUUGGACCUGACAGGUGUAUUCUUCAGUCUCCCACUGGCAGAGGUGGUGCUGUCUACAUGCUGAGUUUUAUUUUACAGCCUGAAUGGCACUUCCAUCAUGGAGCCAGCUGUGCUAAGGUUCAGGAUUUACUAAGGUCUGGGGCCCUGCUACAGUAAGGUUGGCCUGUGGCCAUGUCUGUGGGCAGUUACCUUGAUGAUAUUAUAUGAGGUGGGGAGACCUGCCCAACUGUGGGCAGUACCAUUGCCUAGGCAGAGGUUGCUUCUUGACUGUGGAUACCAUGUAACCAGCUGUUUACAGCUCCUGCUGUUGUGACUUCAGUGUCCCUUCAAUGAUCAGUCUCCUGGAACUGUGAGCUAAAAUAAAAUAAAUGCUUUCUCUCCUA